AAGAAAGUCAUAGUGGUUAUGGUGUUGGCUUGAAACCAACUAAAGGAGGUUCGAUUCCUUCCUUUCUUG